AUCUGAAUCGUGCUCAACUCAAACAGUCCUGUGACUCCUCACAAAGACUACCCUGGCCAAGGUUUUGCUAAAUUGAAAUACGACUGUACACAGCUCCUAAACUAGAGUGGUCAAUCCCAUCUUGACACAUGCACCGACAAGUCAAGUACUUGACUACACCCAGCAGCCUUCCGUCACUGAAUUAGAAAUUCAGGUAGUCCAGUGCCUAAGUGCAGUGAGUUGCUUGCAAGUCACCGUGACGGUCUCAGGUUGGAGGGACAUUUAUACCCAUAUUCCAUCGGAGCAAAUCUUGACAGCAGAAAUAGCUCCGGAGUCGGUCACAUUCAAUACAGAUGUACCCUUACAUCUCACCUGUAUGCCAUACCAGUGUCUC
rnacentral:lncRNA from 1 species